rnacentral:rRNA from 1 species
AUCAACUUUCGAUGGUAGGAUAGAGGCCUACCUUGCUUUUUACGGGUAACGGGGAAUAAGGGUUCGAUUCCGGAGAGGGAGCCUGAGAAAUGGCUACCACAUCCAAGGAUGGCAGCAGGCGCGCAAAUUACCCAAUCCCGACACGGGGAGGUAGUGACAAAAAAUAACGAUGUGAAACCUUUAUGGUGUCACAAUCGCAAUGAAGCGAAUUUAAAUCACUUCAUGAGUAACAAUUGGAGGGCAAGUCUGGUGCCAGCAGCCGCGGUAAUUCCAGCUCCAAUAGCGUAUAUUAAAGUUGUUGCAGUUAAAAAGCUCGUAGUUGAAUUUUGGAUUCUUCCAAUUGGUCCAUCUUUUAGAUGAGUACUGGUUGUGUGGGGUCUAUCCGCCUGGUAAUACGUAAUGUCCUUUAUUGGAUGUUGCGGGUAGUCAGGACCUUUACCUUGAAAAAAUUAGAGUGUUUAAAGCAGGCUUAUGCCGGAAUACAUUAGCAUGGAAUAAUAGAAUAGGACGAUGAUUCUAUUUUGUUGGUUUCUAGGACCAUCGUAAUGAUUAAUAGGGAUAGUUGGGGGCAUUAGUAUUCAAUUGUCAGAGGUGAAAUUCUUGGAUUUAUUGAAGACUAACUACUGCGAAAGCAUUUGCCAAGGAUGUUUUCAUUAAUCAAGAACGAAAGUUAGGGGAUCGAAGACGAUCAGAUACCGUCGUAGUCUUAACCAUAAAACUAUGCCGACUAGGGAUCGGGCGAUGUUGGUUUCCAUGACUCGCUCGGCACCUUAUGGGAAACCAAAGUGUUUGGGUUC